rnacentral:rRNA from 1 species
AGUGAACGCUGGCGGUAGGCCUAACACAUGCAAGUCGAACGGCAGCACAGUAAGAGCUUGCUCUUACGGGUGGCGAGUGGCGGACGGGUGAGGAAUACAUCGGAAUCUACUUUUUCGUGGGGGAUAACGUAGGGAAACUUACGCUAAUACCGCAUACGACCUACGGGUGAAAGCAGGGGAUCUUCGGACCUUGCGCGAUUGAAUGAGCCGAUGUCGGAUUAGCUAGUUGGCGGGGUAAAGGCCCACCAAGGCGACGAUCCGUAGCUGGUCUGAGAGGAUGAUCAGCCACACUGGAACUGAGACACGGUCCAGACUCCUACGGGAGGCAGCAGUGGGGAAUAUUGGACAAUGGGCGCAAGCCUGAUCCAGCCAUACCGCGUGGGUGAAGAAGGCCUUCGGGUUGUAAAGCCCUUUUGUUGGGAAAGAAAAGCAGCAGGUUAAUACCCCGCUGUCCUGACGGUACCCAAAGAAUAGGCACCGGCUAACUUCGUG